GUUACAAGCCGGGUUAUCGCUUCCUGCUAAAGUGGGAGGAGGAAAGUCCGGACAGCAUAGGGCAAUGCACCGGUGAACAGCCGGGUGUUCCGCUGUAAGCGGAACAACAGAGAGUGCCACAGAAAAUAACUGUCUCGCCGCAAGGCGGGAUGAGGGUGAAAACGUGAGGUAAGAGCUCACGGCGUCCCGUAGUAAUACAGGAUGCGGGUAAACCUUGUAUGCUGAAAUGCCAUGUAAACCCUGCUUUUGACCAGGCAACUGGGAAAAGGUGAGCGGCCCGUUCACUAUCUCGCCCCGGCGGAUGGCAGGAAGGGUAGGCAGAUUGAUUCAUUGAGGUAACUCUUUGAACAGAUAAAUGAUAACCGCUUUGUCAUGCUGAGCUUGACGAAGCACAGAAUCCGGCUUACAGGCUUGUAACAUUU
rnacentral:RNase_P_RNA from 2 species